GGGGUGAGAGGUAUACUAUCUCUGAUAUACAGGGGGUGAGAGGUAUACUAUCUCUGAUAUACAGGGGGUGAGAGGUAAAUUAUCUCUGAUAUAGAGGGGGUGAGAGGUAUAGUAUCUCUGAUCUAUAUGGUGAGAGGUAUAGUAUCUCUGAUAUAUAUGGUAAAAGGUAUAGUAUCUCUGAUAUACAGGGGGUGAGAGGUAUACUAUCUCUGAUAUACAGGGGGUGAGAGGUAUAGUAUCUCUGAUAUAUAGGGGGUGAGAGGUAUAGUAUCUCUGAUCUAUAUGGUGAGAGGUAUAGUAUCUCUGAUAUACAGGGGGUGAGAGGUAUAGUAUCUCUGAUCUAUAUGGUGAGAGGUAUAGUAUCUCUGAUCUAUAUGGUGAGAGGUAUAGUAUCUCUGAUAUAUAUGGUGAGAGGUAUAGUAUCUCUGAUAUACAGGGG
ensembl:lncRNA